rnacentral:rRNA from 1 species
CCUACGGGAGGCAGCAGUGGGGAAUAUUGCACAAUGGGCGCAAGCCUGAUGCAGCCAUGUCGCGUGUAUGAAGGAGGCCUUCGGGUUGUAAAGUACUUUCAGCGGGGAGGAAGGUGUUGUGGUUAAUAACCGCAGCAAUUGACGUUACCCGCAGAAGAAGCACCGGCUAACUCCGUGCCAGCAGCCGCGGUAAU